rnacentral:rRNA from 1 species
UGGUUAUAAUAGCAGAGAAGAUACACCUGUUUCCAUUCCGAACACAGAAGUUAAGUUCUCUAGCGCUGAUGGCCCCUACGAGUCACCAUUUGUGGGAUCAUAGCUCAGCUGGGAGAGCACCUGCCUUACAAGC